rnacentral:ribozyme from 1 species
GCAGGAAUGCAAGAGUCUAUGCACGCAUGUGAUGUGAUGACGGUAGUGGUGGCGAUGG